rnacentral:tRNA from 1 species
GGGUCCAUAGCUCAACUGGUAGAGCGCUUGCCUUGCACGCAAGAGGUUAGGAGUUCGAGCCUCCUUGGUUCCA